rnacentral:rRNA from 1 species
UGAAUACGAGACGCUAAGGCGUCGAAGUAGUGUAUGUCAUACUUCCAAGAAAAGCUUGCACUGUCAUAGAUAAAAAACGCCUGUACCAUAACCGACACAGGUGGGUAGGUAGAGUAUACUAAGGGGCGCGAGAUAACUCUCUCUAAGGAACUCGGCAAAAUAACUCCGUAACUUCGGGAGAAGGAGUGCCUUAUUCGUAAGGUUGCAAUAACAAGAUCCAAGCAACUGUUUAUCAAAAACACAGGUCUCCGCUAAGUCGUAAGACGAUGUAUGGGGGCUGACGCCUGCCCAGUGCCAGAAGGUUAAAGAAGUUGGUUAGCAAUUGCGAAGCUGAUAACUGAAGCCCUGGUGAACGGCGGCCGUAACAAUAACGGUCCUAAGGUAGCGAAAUUCCUUGUCGGGUAAGUUCCGACCCGCACGAAAGGCGUAAUGAUUUGGAUACUGUCUCGGAGAGGGGCUCGGUGAAAUAGACUUGUCUGUGAAGAUGCGGACUACCUGCACCAGGACAGAAAGACCCUAUGAAGCUUUACUGUAACUUGAAAUUGAAAUUGGACUUUAUUCGCGCAGUAUAGGUGGGAGGCGUUGAUUAUAAUCUUGUGGGAUUAUUGGAGCCAUCAGUGAGAUACCACUCUUGUAAUGUUAGAUUUCUAACUUUGAAUCAUUAUCUGGUCAAAGAACAGUUUCAGGCGGGCAGUUUGACUGGGGCGGUCGCCUCCUAAACGGUAACGGAGGCGUACAAAGGUUUCCUCUGAACGGUUAGAAAUCGUAUCUAGAGUGUAAAGGCAUAAGGAAGCUUGACUGUGAGACCUACAAGUCGAGCAGGGACGAAAGUCGGUCUUAGUGAUCUGACGGUGCUGAGUGGAAAGGCCGUCACUCAACGGAUAAAAGUUACUCUAGGAUAACAGGCUGAUCUCCCCCAAGAGUUCACAUCGACGGGGAGGUUUGGCACCUCGAUGUCGGCUCAUCGCAUCCUGGGGCGGUAGUACGUCCCAAGGGUUGGGCUGUUCGCCCAUGAAAGCGGUACGCGAGCUGGGUUCAGAACGUCGUGAGACAGUUCGGUCCAUAUCCGGUGUAGGCGUUAGAAUAUUGAGAGGAGCCUUCUUUAGUACGAGAGGACCGAGAAGGACAUACCUCUGGUGUACCAGUUAUCGUGCCAACGGUAAACGCUGGGUAGCUAUGUAUGGAGUGGAUAACCGCUGAAAGCAUCUAAGUGGGAAGCCCACCUCAAGAUAAG